UCAAAUUUAUAAUCCAUAUUUAUAGUCAAAGUAAGAAUUCUCAUAAACAAACAACUUUAAUAAAUCCAAAGUCUAAAUUACAAAUACAAAUAGUAAUCCACAAGUACUUGUCUUACUUAACAAACUCGAAACAUAUGACGCAAGUUCAUAACUCAGUCUACAAAACAUAUUAUAUAUUUAAAACUUUAACAUCAAUGAGUCAAAGUUGUUUCAUAUUGAGGUUCCAUUUCUUCACCAUUUAAGUCCAAAGCUUGACUAACGUUGUCUUCAAAUUGAGGUUCGUGUGAAUGAAGAAAAUGAGUUUCUAAUUCUAUGUGGUAUGUGCCUAUGUGGGUUCUUUAAAAUUACAUUUAUGAACAGGCCUGUUCAAUCAAAUUCCGGCCAGUUCAUCGGUUUUGACACGGUUCACCAGUUUACACCAGUUUUAA
rnacentral:lncRNA from 1 species